rnacentral:rRNA from 1 species
UACAGAGGUCUCGAGCGUUGUUCGGAAUUACUGGGCGUAAAGGGCUCGUAGGUGGCCAACUAAGUCAGACGUGUAAUCCCUCGGCUUAACCGGGGAACUGCGUCUGAUACUGGAUGGCUUGAGUUUGGGAGAGGGAUGCGGAAUUCCAGGUGUAGCGGUGAAAUGCGUAGAUAUCUGGAGGAACACCGGUGGCGAAGGCGGCAUCCUGGACCAACACUGACACUGAGGAGCGAAAGCCAGGGGAGCAAACGGG